rnacentral:rRNA from 1 species
CCGGCGACCGGCGCACGGGUGAGUAACACGUAUGCAACCUGGCCGUGACAGAUGGAUAACCGGGAGAAAUCCCGCCUAAUACAGCAUGACGCCGGGAAGGGACAUCCCUUUCCGGCCAAAGGGGGCGACUCUGGUCACGGAUGGGCAUGCGGCGCAUUAGGUAGUUGGUGGGGCAACGGCCCACCAAGCCGACGAUGCGUAGGGGUUCUGAGAGGAAGGUCCCCCACAUUGGAACUGAGACACGGUCCAAACUCCUACGGAAGGCAGCAG